rnacentral:piRNA from 1 species
UUUCCAGAGUGUUUUCUCAGUGAUCGG